AACUGCUUUCCUCAGGGAGACCAACAUCUCAUUCAAACCACGGCAGCCUGCAAAAGCUAGGCUUCGUUCUUGUGUGUGUGUCCAGGAUCUUUCGUGGGCCCAAAGAGCUGGAGAGGGUCUUUACUGCCUUACCGCUGGUAUUUGCCACAGAAGCAGAAGCGAAGGACCAAGAUAUCUUACAGAAGAAAGGGUUUACAGUUCCAGAGUGAUGAGCAUUCAUGGUGACAGAGUUGAAGCAUAAAGCAUGACAGCAGGUGACAGGCAAGACAAGGAGGAAACUGAGAGCUCACACUUGACAAAGCAGAGAAUGGGAAUUGGAGUGUAAACUGAAGACCAGAAGCUGACCUUUGGAGACAUCUAGUCCAGCAGAGCAGCUGCUGCAUUCUCAGUAUCUUCAACGUGAGACAACCAUGUCGGAAAACCCAACCCAUAUCACUUUCAGGUUCUGAUGUCGCCGUCUGGCCUAAAGCCCCUGCAUGCACUGGUGCUACUGCGUAUGAACUCACAUAAGCGCACGCAAACACAUAAAAACAGCAAGAUAAAGUUUCACAUCGAAACAUUCGCACCACAGCAUGGACGCUUCUCUCUGCACUUGGACAUAUUUUCAGUGGAAUGAGAAUACAGACAAAAAGAGUCAGAUGCUCCUGUCAAUGCCUGCCUGUGGAUGCCAUCACCUCCGUCGGCCACGAGUUCACGGGAAGCAGAUCCCUGAUCAUCUCACACCUCACCACGGUCAUCUAGGCUAGAUGAAAUAGCUCUUCUGCCUUGAAAGAUCUCCCGAGUGUGUGUCAGCCACCCGUGAGUCCAAAGCCUUCACAGUACUUACCAACAGGUACUCGGCAAAGCUUCUGCCUGCAGCCCGAAACUGAGCAAGCUCUCUCUUAGUCUAUGCCUGUAUCACAACCUAAUCAUCCCAGCGACGACCACCUCCCACUCCCCUCGCAGAGUGCCCACUCGCUUAAAACGCACUGGCUGUAAUGUUUAUUACCCAAUGAGGACACCAGUGUUAUUGAUAGCAGCAAUAAGGAUGCCAUCAAACAUGAAUGCUCACAUUCAGCAAGG
ensembl:lincRNA 4933406K04Rik RIKEN cDNA 4933406K04 gene